rnacentral:rRNA from 1 species
AUGGUGUCCGGGGCGAGACACACCUCGAUGUCCACGCUGCCGUCGCCGGAGCGGCCCGGGAACGCCGACAUCUUGCCGUCGAACUUGUUGGCGCGCCCGCUGCGCACCGCCAGGGGGCGGCCCCACCCGAAGUCGUUGCCCUCGUACAUCGGGAACCGGUUGGAGCUGCCCAUCGUCACCACCGCGCCGUCCGGGUUGCCAAGCGGGAAGCACCGGGGCGCCGCCUGCCACGCCGCCGCGACGCCGCGUAUCGCCUCGUCCCCGUACGCCGCCAGGCUGGCGUGCAACCUGGACGCAGCCCACCGCAGGUCGUUGGACGCCAGCUCUGCCACCGUCGCCGUCGUCGGCGCGCUCUGGAUGGCGUUGCCGAAGUAG